GGGAUAGAGUAAAGGUUAACUCGUUAGGCUCAUGAUCUAAAAAUAUAGGUUCAAACCCUAUUCCCGCACCAC
rnacentral:tRNA from 1 species